GGAGAGCUAAGAAUGAGUUUCUUGAUGGGGUGCUUAAAGUGGAGGAGUUUCUCAAGGAUCCUUGGGGAAUUAGGGUUAGAGAUGGGAAGGGAACGACGGUUCAGGUGUGGGUUCCGAAGGUUGCGCCGCCACCUCCACCAGUGCAGCCUGUUGGGGUUGUUAGUGAGGCGUUGGGUGGAGCUGAUGGGGUCGACGAGAUGGUGGCGGCGAUGUCGGCUCAGACAAAGCGUAUUGCUCUUCAGCGUAAGGCUGCUGCUGCUAUGAUUGCUGCUGAGGACUAUGCCCG
rnacentral:misc_RNA from 1 species